CUUCUACUCCCUCCGUUCCAAAAUAGAUGACUCAACUUUGUACUAAUAGAUGACUCAACUUUGUACUAGAUUUAGUAUAAAUUUAGUACAAAGUUGAGUCAUCUAUUUUGGAACGGAGGGAGUAACAU
rnacentral:pre_miRNA from 1 species